rnacentral:rRNA from 1 species
CCCUUAGAUGUUCUGGGCUGCACGCGCGCUACACUGAAGCUAUCAACACGUUUUCCCUCCCUGAGAAGGGCGGGUAACCUUUUGAAUCAGCUUCGUGGUAGGGAUCGGGGCUUGCAAUUGUUCCCCGUGAACCAGGAAUUCCUAGUAGACGCGAGUCAUAAGCUCGCAUCGAUUAAGUCCCUGCCCUUUGUACACACCACCCGUCGCUACUACCGAUUGAACGUUUUAGUGAGGCAUUUGGACCGACGCAUCUCAGUUUAACCGCUGGUUUGUGUUGGAAAGACUUCCAAACUUGAGCGUUUAGAGGAAGUAAAAGUCGUAACA